UAGUAAUGGCAGGUCAGCAUACUGCCGUGAAUACGUUCCCGGGCCUUGUACACACCGCCCGUCACACCAUGAGAGUUGGGAAUACCCGAAGCCUGUGAGCUAACAUUUAUGAGGCAGCAGUCGAAGGUAGAAUCAAUGAUUGGGUGAAGUCGUAACAAGGUAAC
rnacentral:rRNA from 1 species